AGACAUACAUGACAGGGGAGACACCAUAAUUGCAAAGGAGGUUUACCCAGGCCAAGGCUUAUCCAUUGCACCCCAAAUGUGCUGACUCCUUUGAUUUCCCCAAAUGUGGGAAAUUCGACUGCAUAAUUUAUAGUAGUAGGGGGGUUGCAUUCACACACUGCCCUA